rnacentral:rRNA from 1 species
GUAGGGUGCAAGCGUUGUCCGGAAUUAUUGGGCGUAAAGAGCUCGUAGGCGGUCUGUCACGUCGGACGUGAAAAUCCAGGGCUCAACCCUGGACCUGCGUUCGAUACGGGCAGACUAGAGUUCGGUAGGGGAGACUGGAAUUCCUGGUGUAGCGGUGAAAUGCGCAGAUAUCAGGAGGAACACCGGUGGCGAAGGCGGGUCUCUGGGCCGAAACUGACGCUGAGGAGCGAAAGCGUGGGGAGCAAACAGGAUUAGAUACCCUGGUAGUCCACGCCGUAAACGUUGGGCGCUAGGUGUGGGGAACCUUCCACGUUCUCCGUGCCGCAGCUAACGCAUUAAGCGCCCCGCCUGGGGAGUACGGCCGCAAGGCUA